CCAUUUUCUCUUCUUUUACCAUGAUCACAAAGGCGGUUUUCCCAGGGCGAGGCUCACCCACUGCACUCUGGGUGUGCUGACCCCUGCAAUUUCCCCAAGGGUGGGAAACUCAACUGCAUAAUUUGUGGUCGUGCAGGACUACUUUUCUGCUCUCCUUCA